rnacentral:rRNA from 1 species
UACAGAGGUCUCAAGCGUUGUUCGGAUUCAUUGGGCGUAAAGGGCGCGUAGGCGGCGCGGUAAGUCGGGUGUGAAAUCUAUGGGCUCAACCCAUAGCCUGCAUUAGAAACUGUCGGGCUUGAGUAUGGGAGAGGUGAGUGGAAUUUCCGGUGUAGCGGUGAAAUGCGUAGAUAUCGGAAGGAACACCUGUGGCGAAAGCGGCUCACUGGACCAUUACUGACGCUGAUGCACGAAAGCUAGGGGAGCAAACAGG